CGAGUUAGAGCUUGUUAUAAGCAUUUUAUUUACACUAAAAAGUUAAUUGUGAAAAUCAAUUUAACUUGA
rnacentral:tRNA from 1 species